GUGCUGUGAAGAUAAAGAACUCUCUCACUGAAGUCAACCGUGUUGUUUACCUACAUUAUCAGAGCGCU
rfam:Haemonchus contortus, ISE/inbred ISE, WGS project CAVP01000000 data, contig: Hcontortus_34757